ACGGCGAGUGAAGCGGCAACAGCUCAAUUUGAAAUCUGGCGUCUUCGGCGUCCGAGUUGUAAUUUGCAGAGGGCGCUUUGGCAUUGGCAGCGGUCCAAGUUCCUUGGAACAGGACGUCACAGAGGGUGAGAAUCCCGUACGUGGUCGCUAGCCUUUACCGUGUAAAGCCCCUUCGACGAGUCGAGUUGUUUGGGAAUGCAGCUCUAAAUGGGAGGUAAAUUUCUUCUAAAGCUAAAUACUGGCCAGAGACCGAUAGCGCACAAGUAGAGUGAUCGAAAGAUGAAAAGCACUUUGGAAAGAGAGUUAAAAAGCACGUGAAAUUGUUGAAAGGGAAGCGCUUGCAGCCAGACUUGCCUGUAGUUGCUCAUCCGGGUUUUUACCCGGUGCACUCUUCUAUAGGCAGGCCAGCAUCAGUUUGGGCGGUUGGAUAAAGGUCUCUGUCAUGUACCUCUCUUCGGGGAGAACUUAUAGGGGAGACGACAUGCAACCAGCCUGGACUGAGGUCCGCGCAUCUGCUAGGAUGCUGGCGUAAUGGCUGUAAGCGGC
rnacentral:rRNA from 1 species